rnacentral:rRNA from 1 species
GAUGAACGCUGGCGGCGUGCCUAAUACAUGCAAGUCGAGCGAACAGACGAGUAGCUUGCUCCUCUGACGUUAGCGGCGGACGGGUGAGUAACACGUUGAUAACCUACCUAUAAGACUGGGAUAACUUCGGGAAACCGGAGCUAAUACCGGAUAAUAUAUUGAACCGCAUGGUUCAAUAGUGAAAGACGGUUUUGCUGUCACUUAUCCAUGGAUCCGCGCCGCAUUAGCUAGUUGGUAAGGUAACGGCUUACCAAGGCAACGAUGCGUAGCCGACCUGAGAGGGUGAUCGGCCACACUGGAACGGAGACACGGUCCAGACGCAUACGGGAGGCAGCAGUAGGGAAUCUUCCGCAAUGGGCGAAAGCGUGACGGAGCAACGCCGCGUGAGUGAUGAAGGUCUUCGGAUAGUAAAACUCUGUUAUUAGGGAAGAACAAAUGUGUAAGUAACUAUGCACGUCUUGACGGUACCUAAUCAGAAAGCCACGGCUAACUACGUG